GCGCACGCCCAUUGUGCGACGCCGCACCUACUACACCGUGAAUUUGGAUGACCUUGCGCCGUAGACAGACGUAUGUCAUCGGCGGUUGUCAGAAUAGACAGCGAAAGAAGAACUUAAGAAAAAGAUAACAUUGUACCACGAACUAUAAGUGAAGCCAACGUGAAUUCCUAAACUAAAAUAAUUUUGUAUAUUCUAAUUAAAAUACUGCAUAUUUGAUUCCUUUGUUUACUAAUCCUAAACAAGUAGGUAUAAGAUAAGUUUCCAUGCAUAUUUUCUCUAUCUUAAUAACUUCAAUUCUUAACUAGGUUGAUUGCAGUGAAUGAAGGUUAGAGUUGAAUGAUUCUGCAAUAAUCAGAAGUAUCGAUAUAAUGUAGGUAAUUCUACUGUCUAUGUUACCCGCAAUCAUAAUUAUAAUUACUUGCCUACACAGAUAAGUGUCCAGUAUUGCAUCGGUAUUCUGCCAAUAAUCCGGGAACAAGAUACGGUCAAGUAGAUGUAGCUGAACUCACGAAACGUAGGUUAGCCCUAAAAACAAUCCAACAUGAAUUACCCUGAUUAUUAUUGUGCCAUUGUAGGAAAUUUUUAACCGUUGCUGUGGAAUAAACGCGUUCAAAAAACCGGAUCAAAUUCGCUCUUGUUACUUCCGUAACAAAUUUAAAAAUUUCGUUUCCGGAUUAUUGAGGAGUAACUGCAUCAUGCCACCACUCGCCCCGCCUCCAGACCGCAGCUGCUCGAUGUGUCAGUCGGAAGACAACAGCCGGAUGGUCUGUUGUGAUCAGUGUAGUAACUGGUUUCAUUUCGACUGUGUCGGGGUGACAGAAGACACUGCCAAUCACCCAUGGAUUUGCCCGAGCUGCGCCAGAGCGAAUAUGAUAAACCCCACAGUUGGCUCGACAUCCAUGCCAGUGCCAACCAGCGAACCGUCAACAGCAAAAGUACCUGCACCACCAGCGCCUCCACUAGCGACAGCUCUGCCACCUCCUCCCACACGCCCUGUCCAGCUGUCAGUUGACCUGCAGCUGAAAAUGCUCGAGGAAGAACGAGCGCUAGAGCGAAAAUACCUGCAGCGUAAAUAUCAGUUGAUGAUGGAAGCAUCAGGAACAGCAAGUAAUCCACUACCAACCUCCCAUUCAAUGCCCGAUGAUAGUUUUCGUAUGCCACCAUGUCACUCAUCUCCGUUACGGCCAGCUCCACCAACCGCUCCUGAGCUCCACCUCCUUGAAGGCAUAGGAGGGGCAAACGAGACAGCAAUGCUUAACUCCAGCCAAAUUGCAGCUCGUCACGCGGUGGCUAAAGAGCUACCCAUCUACAGCGGCGAACCAGAAGAGUGGCCCCUAUUUAUCGCCACGUACGAAAACACCACUAGGCUAUGCGGAUAUACCCCGGAGGAAAAUAUGGUUCGAUUACAACGUUGCCUACGUGGAAAAGCACUGGAUGCAGUAAGAUGCCAGCUACUGCACCCCGCAAAUUUGGAACACGCGCUCUCUACAUUAAAAAUGCUUUUUGGGCGUCCUGAGAUUAUAGUCCACAGCCUUAUCGAGAAAAUUAACAAAAUCCCGGCACCGAAAGCAGACAGACUCAGUACACUUGUCGAUUUUGCUCUAGCUGUACGGAAUAUGGUUGCUACUGUGCAAGCCUGCAACUUGGAGGAGCAUCUUUAUAACAUUACCCUCCUUCACGGCCUAGUUGAACGACUGCCUACAAUGGUGAAACUAAACUGGGCCACACACCGUGUACGGCUUCCGAGGGUGUCACUAUUGGAGUUUAGCGACUGGCUGUACACUGUGGCAGAAGCAGCCAGUACCGUGACAAUGUCGUCGACGUCACUACCUGCGUACGAAGCAAAACCUCGUAGAAGCGGAAACAGAGAAGAUGGAUUUAUAAGUGUUCACUCCGAACCUCAACCUCAACAAGGGCCCACCUGGACAUAUCAAGCGAAAGAAGGUUGCGUAGUUUGCCAAAAUUCGUGCAGCACUGUGGAAAAUUGCCCUGAAUUUCUGAAUUUGAACCACCCCGACCGUUGGGCAGCAUUACGAGUCCACAAAUUAUGCAGAACUUGCCUAGGAACUCACCGUGGACCGUGUAGAUCAAACGAUAUCUGCGGCAAGAAUGGCUGCACCUUCAAACACCACCGCCUGCUUCACAAUGAACGCGCAGGCACGUACACGGCUGCCAGAGUAUCAGCCGAACCCGAGCAAGGCGAAAGCUCCUCAAACAACGUCAAUUUAAAUCAGCUCAACUGUAACACACACCGAUGGAACGAAAAGUCGGUACUGUUUCAGUACGUCCCAGUAGUGCUGCAUCACAAUGGGAACACUGUGCACACUUACGCAUUCGUUGAUUGUGGAUCGCAUAUCACACUGCUGGAAGAUGAGUUGGCAGCUGAUCUGAACCUUCGUGGUGAAAAGCACCCUUUGUGCAUCCGAUGGACCGCCGAUCAUUGCCGCUUCGAAGAUUCGGCUGAACGAGUUUCACUCCAUGUAUCCGGAACUGAAAACGAGGACAAUAAAUUCCUGCUAUCAGAAGUGUUCACCGUGAAAGAUCUGAAGUUGCCAGCUCAAACGCUCUCCGUGUCCAAGCUUUGCAGAAAAUACGGUUAUCUGAAAGGCUUACCUGUACAGUCUUAUAACAACAUUCGCCCACGUUUGCUCAUCGGAAUGAACAACAUUCGACUCGGUCACGCUCUGGAUAGUCGAGAAGGCGGCGAAAAUGGACCCAUCGCCACAAAAACUCGACUGGGGUGGACAAUCUUCGGAACCUGCCUGGAUGAUCAUCCCAAGCCGUCUACAGUCCCCUACAGCUUCCACAUUUGCUCCCACUCUACCAAAGCUGACGAAAAUCUCCACGCCGCAGUUAAGAACUACUUUGCCCUUGAUAGCAUAGGCAUCACCGCAUCAAGGAAGGAGCUGUUAUCAGUUGACGAUGAACGAGCUCUUAAGAUUCUACAAUCCAACACGCGUCUAGAAAAUGGGAGAUACACGACGAGCCUCCUGUGGAAGUAUGAUGAUGUACGUCUACCCAACAAUAAAUCGAUGGCCCUCCGACGUCACAACUGCCUUGUGAAAAGGAUGAAACGCGAACCGACUUUGGGCGAAACCUUGAAGAACAAAAUAGCCGACUACAUUCGAAAGGGCUAUAUUCGCAAGCUAUCACAUCAGGAAAUGCAUCAACCUGGUAAUCGCAUUUGGUACCUACCCAUUUUCCCUGUCUUCAACGAAAACAAACCAGGCAAAGUAAGAAUUGUGUGGGACGCGGCCGCAGCUGUUAGUGGGACAUCACUCAACUCCGUCCUUUUAAAAGGCCCGGAUCGUUUGGAGCCUCUUUCGUUCGUCCUAUACAAAUUUCGGGAGCGUCGGAUCGCUAUAUGUGGAGACAUCGAAGAAAUGUUCCAUCAGGUCAGGAUGAAUGAGGAAGACCAACAAAGCCAACGAUUCUUCUUCCAAGACAAAAUGGAUACGAGUGAACCUGACGAAUACGUGAUGACUGUCAUGACGUUUGGGGCUACAUGCUCGCCGAGCUCCGCCAACUUCGUCAUCAACCAAAAUGCAGAACGUUUUGCAGGACAGCUACCAGAAGCAGCCAGUGCGAUUCGGAAGAGCCAUUAUGUGGAUGACAUGUUGGCUAGUGUCGACACCGAAUCCGAAGCCAUUCAGCUAGCGGAAGACGUCCGGUUCAUCCAUCAGCAAGGCGGAUUCAAAAUGAGAGGAUGGAUCUCAAAUUCCCCAACGGUUAGGACAGCACUCAACAGUGAAAACAUCCCAGGCAAGAGCUUGGACCUUAACAAGGAGAUCGCCCUGGAGAAGGUGUUGGGAAUGUGGUGGAACACCGACACCGACGAAUUUCAGUUCAAACUAUCGAAAGAGCGAUAUGCAGACCUGCUGACCGGCGUUAAGCACCCAACAAAGCGGGAGCUACUCAGCAUGCUCAUGUCCGUUUACGAUCCACUAGGUCUGAUUGCAAACUUCCUCAUGCCUCUGAAACUCUUGCUACAGGAGAUAUGGCGGUCAGGUGUAUCCUGGGACGAACCGAUAGAGUUUCGUCAUAUGCAAAAAUGGAGAGCAUGGUUGAAAUAUCUCCCCCAAGCAAGCUCCGUUCGAAUCCCACGAUGCUACACAAAGGGGCGCUCAUACGAGAAACUGAGCAUCGAGCUGCAUACAUUUGUGGAUGCUAGCGAACUCGGAUACUGCGCUGUGUCGUACCUACGAUUUGAGCAAGCUGAACAAAUCGAUUGCGUUUUGGUGGGCGCCAAAACCAGGGUGGCUCCCCUGAAAUUUGUUUCAAUACCGCGUCUGGAACUCCAGGCGGCUGUAGUUGGAACCCGACUUGCCAAAAGCAUCCAAGAAGGACAUUCAAUUGGAAUAACGCAACGCUACUUCUGGACAGACGCUGCUGAUGUUUUGUGCUGGUUGCGUUCAGACCACCGGACAUACUCACAGUUCGUGGCCUUUAGGAUAACCGAUAUUCUGGAGUCCAGCGAUAUUACGGAAUGGAAAUAUGUACCCACCAAGGAAAACGUUGCGGACGAAGGCACGAAGAUUCAGCGACAAAUAGAAUUUGAUGCUGACAGUCGAUGGAGAAGGGGACCACCGUUCCUCUGGGGACCAAGAAACAACUGGCCAUUGGAACCGUUGCCAAAGAAGAUGACCACACUAGAAAUUCGACCGAGCAUGCUCCAUCACGCAGUAGCUCCGGUUCUUGAUUGUCUACAAGCCGACAAAUUUUCCAGUUGGCAUCGUUUGCGACGGAUUACUGCCCUAGUAGCUAGAUUCCCGUCGAACAUAAGACAAAGAAUUGCAGGAGGGUCACCGGUGGCUGGUCCUUUGACGAGUACAGAACUUCUACAAGCUGAAGUUUUUCACUACAAACGUGCGCAAAAUGAUGUCUACUCCGAUGAAAUUACCCUUUUGACUGCGGGGUCAGGUAAGUCCACCCUUCCAAAGGGGAAUCGACUUUAUAAGCUCACUCCAAUCAUCGACGAUGACGGAGUGCUUCGCAUUCACGGUCGCAUCGAUGCAUGUGACUAUGUUGGGAAAAACACUAAAUAUCCAAUUGUGCUACCAAGAGGACAUGCACUUACAAGGCUGGUUCUCCAAAGCAUUCAUGAGAAGUAUCACCAUCUGUGCUAUGAGACGUUUGUAAAUGAAACCCGCAAAAAGUUCUAUAUCCCUAAACUCCGCAUCGAAUGCAAAAGAAUCCAAUCGAGCUGUCAACGUUGCAAGGUCCGUAAGGCUCAACCAGCACCGCCUGCGAUGGGUAAUCUUCCAAAAGCGCGACUAGCUGCCUAUGUUCGCCCAUUUUCUUAUAUAGGAGUGGACUAUUUUGGGCCCUUCAAUGUAGCAGUUGGUCGUCGAGUAGAAAAACGCUGGGGGGUCCUAGUGACCUGCCUUACCGUGCGUGCCAUACAUAUAGAAUUAGCCCACACCCUUAACACAGAUUCGUGUAUAAUGGCAUUGCGCAAUUGUUUCGCACGUCGAGGAGUACCGAUCCAGAUUAUUAGUGACCGUGGUACCAAUUUCAUCGGGGCUGAGAAAGAACUUAAAAACGCUCUGCAAUCAAUUGACCAGGACGCAAUGAUCAGGGAGUUCACUACCUCUUCAACUUCGUGGGUAUUCAACCCUCCAGCCACUCCCCACAUGGGAGGCUCAUGGGAGAGGUUGAUACAAUCCGUGAAAAAAAUACUUUAUGAAAUGCAGCCAAAUCGUCUACCAAAAGAAGAGGUGCUGAGAAACUGCCUUAUCGAAGUGGAAAACGUAGUGAACAGCAGGCCGCUGACGCAUGUACCGAUAGAGGACGAAUCUUCACCCGCGCUGACACCUAAUCAUUUUCUGGUGGGAUCGUCGAAUGGUCUUAAGCCUUUGGUACCGUUUGACGACCGUUCUACAUCUCUAAAGCAGUCCCACAAAACUUCGCAAAUUCUUGCGAACUUCUUUUGGAAACGUUGGGUGGACGAAUACCUCCCAAACAUCACUCGACGUACAAAGUGGUUUGCCCCAGUAAAACCAAUUGCUGUGGGCGAUAUAGUUGUUAUCGUGGACCCCAAGCAACCCAGAAACUGUUGGCCAAAAGGUAAGGUGUUAGCUACGAAUCUUUCGAAGGAUGGCCAAGUUCGUCAAGCUUCAGUACAAACAUCUGGAGGGAUUUUUCAAAGAUCUGCAGUCAACCUCGCUGUACUGGACGUAGGUGCAAAUACGAGCGGAUCGGACCAGGGUCCAACCACUGGGGGGGGCUGUUGCGCACGCCCAUUGUGCGACGCCGCACCUACUACACCGUGAAUUUGGAUGACCUUGCGCCGUAGACAGACGUAUGUCAUCGGCGGUUGUCAGAAUAGACAGCGAAAGAAGAACUUAAGAAAAAGAUAACAUUGUACCACGAACUAUAAGUGAAGCCAACGUGAAUUCCUAAACUAAAAUAAUUUUGUAUAUUCUAAUUAAAAUACUGCAUAUUUGAUUCCUUUGUUUACUAAUCCUAAACAAGUAGGUAUAAGAUAAGUUUCCAUGCAUAUUUUCUCUAUCUUAAUAACUUCAAUUCUUAACUAGGUUGAUUGCAGUGAAUGAAGGUUAGAGUUGAAUGAUUCUGCAAUAAUCAGAAGUAUCGAUAUAAUGUAGGUAAUUCUACUGUCUAUGUUACCCGCAAUCAUAAUUAUAAUUACUUGCCUACACAGAUAAGUGUCCAGUAUUGCAUCGGUAUUCUGCCAAUAAUCCGGGAACAAGAUACGGUCAAGUAGAUGUAGCUGAACUCACGAAACGUAGGAAAUUUUUAACCGUUGCUGUGGAAUAAACGCGUUCAAAAAACCGGAUCAAAUUCGCUCUUGUUACUUCCGUAACAAUUACAUU